GCUUGCUGGGUGGAUUAGUGGCGAACGGGUGAGUAACACGUGAGUAACCUGCCCCUGACUCUGGGAUAAGCGUUGGAAACGACGUCUAAUACUGGAUAUGACUGCCGGCCGCAUGGUCUGGUGGUGGAAAGAUUUUUUGGUUGGGGAUGGACUCGCGGCCUAUCAGCUUGUUGGUGAGGUAAUGGCUCACCAAGGCGACGACGGGUAGCCGGCCUGAGAGGGUGACCGGCCACACUGGGACUGAGACACGGCCCAGACUCCUACGGGAGGCAGCAGUGGGGAAUAUUGCACAAUGGGCGAAAGCCUGAUGCAGCAACGCCGCGUGAGGGAUGACGGCCUUCGGGUUGUAAACCUCUUUUAGUAGGGAAGAAGCGAAAGUGACGGUACCUGCAGAAAAAGCACCGGGCUAACUACGUGCCAGCAGCCGCGGUAAUACGUAGGGUGCAAGCGUUGUCCGGAAUUAUUGGGCGUAAAGAGCUCGUAGGCGGUUUGUCGCGUCUGCUGUGAAAUCCCGAGGCUCAACCUCGGGCUUGCAGUGGGUACGGGCAGACUAGAGUGCGGUAGGGGAGAUUGGAAUUCCUGGUGUAGCGGUGGAAUGCGCAGAUAUCAGGAGGAACACCGAUGGCGAAGGCAGAUCUCUGGGCCGUAACUGACGCUGAGGAGCGAAAGCAUGGGGAGCGAACAGGAUUAGAUACCCUGGUAGUCCAUGCCGUAAACGUUGGGCGCUAGAUGUAGGGACCUUUCCACGGUUUCUGUGUCGUAGCUAACGCAUUAAGCGCCCCGCCUGGGGAGUACGGCCGCAAGGCUAAAACUCAAAGGAAUUGACGGGGGCCCGCACAAGCGGCGGAGCAUGCGGAUUAAUUCGAUGCAACGCGAAGAACCUUACCAAGGCUUGACAUACACCGGAAACGGCCAGAGAUGGUCGCCCCCUUGUGGUCGGUGUACAGGUGGUGCAUGGUUGUCGUCAGCUCGUGUCGUGAGAUGUUGGGUUAAGUCCCGCAACGAGCGCAACCCUCGUUCUAUGUUGCCAGCGCGUUAUGGCGGGGACUCAUAGGAGACUGCCGGGGUCAACUCGGAGGAAGGUGGGGAUGACGUCAAAUCAUCAUGCCCCUUAUGUCUUGGGCUUCACGCAUGCUACAAUGGCCGGUACAAAGGGCUGCGAUACCGUAAGGUGGAGCGAAUCCCAAAAAGCCGGUCUCAGUUCGGAUUGAGGUCUGCAACUCGACCUCAUGAAGUCGGAGUCGCUAGUAAUCGCAGAUCAGCAACGCUGCGGUGAAUACGUUCCCGGGCCUUGUACACACCGCCCGUCAAGUCAUGAAAGUCGGUAACACCCGAAGCCGGU
rnacentral:rRNA from 1 species